AGAAAGCCACGGCUAACUACGUGCCAGCAGCCGCGGUAAUACGUAGGUGGCAAGCGUUGUCCGGAAUUAUUGGGCGUAAAGCGCGCGUAGGCGGUUUUUUAAGUCUGAUGUGAAAGCCCACGGCUCAACCGUGGAGGGUCAUUGGAAACUGGGGGACUUGAGUGCAGAAGAGGAAAGUGGAAUUCCAUGUGUAGCGGUGAAAUGCGCAGAGAUAUGGAGGAACACCAGUGGCGAAGGCGACUUUCUGGUCUGUAACUGACGCUGAUGUGCGAAAGCGUGGGGAUCAAACAGGAUUAGAUACCCUGGUAGUCCACGCCGUAAACGAUGAGUGCUAAGUGUUAGGGGGUUUCCGCCCCUUAGUGCUGCAGCUAACGCAUUAAGCACUCCGCCUGGGGAGUACG
rnacentral:rRNA from 1 species